AAAGGGUCACCUUGGAGCGAUUAGCAUGGCUGCCAAAGCGUAAUCCCUUUGCAAACAACUAAUGGCGGCACUGACAAGUUCCUACAGGAAGAUGCUUGGCAGGCGAGCACUGUGGGAAAGGCUGUCUUCCACCUACGGAAACUCGGAUGGAAAUGGAAUCGUUUGCUUUUCCUUCCGUGUGUCUGAGAGAUUCCCCCAGUGUUUUUCAUACAGGGGGUUUUUCAUAAAGGUGUCAGGCCCCAUCAGAACUUUGAUGACAGCCACAAACAUUAUCAAAUAAA
rnacentral:lncRNA from 1 species